ACGGUGCGUUUUGAGAUUUGUUUUCCCGCGAGUUUUUCUCCCCUCUGUUGUCGGACAGACCAACAGCUGGAAAACCUAGCUUUCGGCUUCGCCAUGGACGGAGGAGGAGCAGGAGACAAAAGCGAUCUUGAGCGAGAUCGAGAAGCGGAAGAAACGGAAGACGACGCCAUGGACGAUCUUCUUCGAGACCGAUUCAGACUCACCGCCAUCGCUAUCGCCGAAGCCGAAUCGAAGAAAAAUGGAAUGGACGUAGCAGGACCUGUUGCCGCUUGCAUGGCAGACUUGGCUUUCAAAUAUGCAGAAAAUCUUGCAAAGGACCUUGAACUUUUUGCUCAUCAUGCUGGCCGCAAAACCGUGAACAUGGACGAUGUUAUUCUCUCUGCUGAAGCAGGUUGGAUAUCAUACAUCUCUAUGAUCGAUUUUGCCAGAGUAGUUGCUUUGUGUAUAUUGCGAAAAUCAACAGAAGCUUUGGAUAUCAGCGCACCUAUUCCAUUCUGCUAGAGAUUCUAUGGAGUGAGCUUUAAAGCUUUCGAACACAACCACAUAUGUGAAUAAUAAGUGUCCCACGUCGGAAAAAGAGAGGGAUUUGGGGCCAAUAUAUAAGGAGGGUCAAACCUCCACUCUUAAGCUAGCUUUUGGGUGGAGUUAGGACUCAAACUAUAUCAGUGAAUGAGGAGGAAUGGAAGUUUGGAUGGAUCAAAAACAAGAAGAUUGUGUAACGCAGUUCUUGAUUGAGAGCCGAACGAUUCUUCUACAAAACCGAAUCUGCAAUCUGCAAACUGAGGUAUCUUCUGAAACAAUAUUCACGUGCAAAGCUCAAGCCCAUCAAAACCGAAUCUGCAAUCUGCAAACUGAGCUGCUGAAUAUCAAGAUUAUCUGAGGAGGAUGGAUAUCCAAGUUUCCUCUAUUACAUGCGGUAUCUGCAACUGUCUCGGGUUGGCUCAUCAGUUAUUAUAUUGCACAACGGAGCAGCACAAGUGUCGAUAGCUUUACAUGUAAACUGCCCGAAUCAGAUGGCAGAAGUUCUUAUCAAAAGCUUUACAUCCGGCGACCGGCACUACUGAUUCUUCUUUUUGGAAUAUCCUACAACCUAUUCUCCAUAUUUUCUCGUAACAUUAGUUGCUAGAGUUAGUUUUCAGUUACAUGCUAAUAAAAUAGUUUCUACAUUCUGAUUAUCUGCAAGCAUGUUCUGUUCUUUCAUUUCAUUCUUUCUUGGUUUCUUCUCGGCUAUGGCCAAAGAUAUAUCUAUUUCUUUUGUUGCAGCUCACCGGAAUGAGAACUUAGCUGCCUCGUUGAGGUCCUUAAGCAAUGAUAUGAGAGCGAAGGAGCCUCAAUCCGAGAGGAAGCGGAAGAAAGGAUCAGCGAAAAAGGAAGAAAAAGCCACCAGCGAUGUGGUUCAUAUCAAUGAUACGUAGACCGGAAACCUUCAAACUCUCGGUAAUGUAAAAACAUAUACAUAUAUAUACACACAUCGGUACAACAACAACAACAACAAAAAAACCCGGAAUUUUUUACGAGUUUAUGAUUCAGCCAAGCUGGUAAGAAACCAUCCUUUCCUUUAGAAUUUCCAUAGAUUUCGUUUCUGUAUUUGACCCUCAGGCAUGGUUUGUGGUCUUGAAGAAGUUGCAAGUUGGGGCCAAGUUCUAGUUUCAUGAAGAGUUCUGCACAUAAUUCUUGUGUAAUUCAGGGUUUUGAUUAGGGAAUCUUGUGGUCAUGCAGAAAUUUAGUCAAAGUGUGCCUUGGAAUAGAUUCCAUA